AAUCGAUAACGCUUUAUACCCUUUGCAUACUGCAAAUAAAACUAAGCUUCUUCUGUUGUUUACUUAAUCAUGGUAAACUAAUAUUUCAAUUGCAGAUUUCUUACUAGCAACAAAUUUAAAUUCUCAAUCGACUUGGACUCUAACUUGACGCUUUAACGCUUUAACUUGAGUUCUCGUCGAUUGUUGCCUUAAUCCAGUCGACGUAGUGCGUCACAUUCGUGGCCACUUCGAAGAUCCUACAGGAUGCAUCCCCGUAGCUGACGAGUCCGAGCAGGAAAGCCCGCUUCUUUAACCCGAAGAGCAGCUUCGCGCUCAGCGGGCCCCCGGAAUCCCCACCGCAGGCAUCGCUGUCCACGCCAGUGGUGCAGAUUUGGGACUGGUCGACUUCGAUGUUGAAGUUGCUGUUGCAACACGAUUGUUCGAGCGCAAGCAAAGUGGUCUCCUGGAGAAUGCGGCUGGGCUUAUAGUCUGCGGUGUGACCCCAGCCAGUGAGGGUGUAGAAGUGAACCUUCUCCAAGGGUUCGGUUUUUCCCCAGAAUUCUGGGGAAUCAGUCAAAGCGAGGCUUCGCUGCGUAUAGCGUUAAAAUUUGCUGAAGAUAAGCUUCGCUUAUGUACAUAAAUACUAAUGCAGAUAUUAUUGACCCGAAUGGCGUCUACGACAGAAGUCAGGGGAGCCAUUAAACCACUCGAGAUAA
ensembl:ncRNA lncRNA:CR44784 long non-coding RNA:CR44784